UGGCUCAUAUGGUAAUUAUAUUGUACUUCCUAAAACAAUAAAGGAAUGUUUGAAUCAAAUACUUUCACAUUUAACUUAUCUGGGGGCUUACUUAAUUUUUGUUAGCAUCUUUUUACCAUUGACCUAAAUUUUUUUACGUGAUCGAACUUUCAAAAAUUAGUGUUCAUUAAGACUUCUGUUUUCAUAGCUAACUGACGGAAUAUUAGGCAUGCAAUUAUCAUAAUUUUUUAUUGUUCAGAGGAUGGUAAAGAGACACCUAACAAUGAUGCUCCUGAGAACAAUCCUAAAUAUACAACUGUUUAUGUGGGUAACCUUGGUUCUGAGAGGCAACACAACUUGAUCUCCAUCGUCAUUUCUAUACCAUUGGGGCUGGUGUGAUAGAGGAGGUUUGUGUCCAGCGUGAUAAAGAGUUUGGGUUUGUGAGGUCUAGUACUCACGCGCAAGCAGCUCUGGCAAUUAAGAUGGGCAAUGCCCAGUCUUAUCUCGGCAGAAAACUAAUUAAGCCGACUACACCUGGAACUGCUUCAAAUCCUCUUCCUCCACCUAUUGUUGCACCUUUGCCAGGUCUUUCCGCAACUGAUAUUCUGACCUGCGAGAGGAAGAUAGCAAUGAGCAAGAUGGAUGGUGUCCAUGCUGCAUUGAUGCAUCUCCAAGCGUAACAUCCUCUUAAGUAGGCCGCAAUUGGAGCAAGCUGGGAGAUAUAUGACGGCGGGUUCCAAAAUGUAGCUGCUGCACAACAAAUGAUGUACUACCAGUAAAAUAUAAUAAGCUAUCUCUAUCUAUCUGCAUGCAUUGGGCAAUGAUACAUAUGAUCAAGGUGAUGCUGCUGGUUUUAUCCAGCUUUAUGGUCUUCCAAUAUGAGUCCGGGUAAUGCUUCAGCAAGGCAUUUAAUUUAAGUGUUGAUUUCAUUUCAGAUCAUGUAUUUGUUUACAAUAAGACCACAUGCUUUGUUUAGUUAGAUGAAAUAAUUGUCUUUUAUCUAUUAUUUCAAUUCUCGUUAUUUAGGAAUUGGAUUGUAAUCAGAGAGUAGUUUUAAUUGUUAAUGGAUAAUCUCCACUCUAAUAAAAUGGUUGCAAAUG